rnacentral:rRNA from 1 species
AACGAACGCUGGCGGCAUGCCGAACACAUGAAAGUCGAACGGGAUCCUGGCUUCGGUCAGGAGAGAGUGGCGGACGGGUGAGUAACGCGUGGGAACCUGCCCAGUGGUGGGGGAUAACUGAGGGAAACUGCAGCUAAUACCGCAUGAGCCCGAGAGGGGAAAGAUUUAUCGACAUUGGAGGGGCCCGAGUUCGAUUAGGUAGUUGGUUAGGUAAUGGCUCACCAAGCCGACGAUCGAUAGCUGGUCUGAGAGGCUGAUCAGCCACACUGGGACUGAGAUAAGGCCCAGACUCCUACGGGAGGCAGCAGUGGGGAAUAUUGGACAAUGGGGGCAACCCUGAUCCAGCAAUGCCGCGUGAGUGAUGAAGGCCUUCGGGUUGUAAAGCUCUUUUGCCAGGGACGAUGAUGACGGUACCUGGAGAAUAAGCCCCGGCUAACUUCGUGCCAGCCGCCGCGGUAAAAC